GGCCAUUUUUCCGCUGGGGGGUCUUGGGACCCCGACCUUCGGGGGCUGAUUUUUGGGCGCGGCUGUGCCCGUGGCCUAUUUUUGGUACACAGAGGCCGCCCGCCAAGUAUGGUGCCAUUCCGAGUCCCGCGGACGAACUUCGCCCACGCCCCCCACCAAGGCUAUAGCCCACCCGUUUUUUGGCCAGUUUUCCGCUGGGGGGUCUUGGGACCCCGACCAUCGGGGGCUGAUUUUUGGGCGCGGCUGUGCCCGUGGCCUAUUUUUGGCACACAGAGGCCGCCCGCCAAGUAUGGUGCCAUUCCGAGUCCCGCGGACGAACUUCGCCCACGCCGCCCACCAAGGCUAUAGCCCACCCGUUUUUUGGCCAUUUUUCCGCUGGGGGGUCUUGGGACCCCGACCUUCGGGGGCUCAUUUUUGGGCGCGGCUGUGCCCGUGGCCUAUUUUUGGCACACAGAGGCCGCCCGCCAAGUAUGGUGCCAUUCCGAGUCCCGCGGACGAACUUCGCCCACGCCGCCCACCAAGGCUAUAGCCCACCCGUUUUUUGGCCAUUUUUCCGCUGGGGGGUCUUGGGACCCCGACCUUCGGGGGCUGAUUUUUGGGCGCGGCUGUGCCCGUGGCCUAUUUUUGGCACACAGAGGCCGCCCGCCAAGUAUGGUGCCAUUCCGAGUCCCGCGGACGAACUUCGCCCACGCCCCCCACCAAGGCUAUAGCCCACCCGUUUUUUGGCCAGUUUUCCGCUGGGGAGUCUUGGGUCCCCGACCAUCGGGGGCUUAUUUUCGGGCGCGGCUGUGCCCGUGGCCUAUUUUUGGCACACAGAGGCCGCCCGCCAAGUAUGGUGCCAUUCCGAGUCGCGCGGACGAACUUCGCCCACGCCCCCCACCAAGGCUAUAGCCCACCCGUUUUUUGGCCAUUUUUCCGCUGGGGGGUCUUGGGACCCCGACCUUCGGGGGCUGAUUUUUGGGCGCGGCUGUGCCCGUGGCCUAUUUUUGGUACACAGAGGCCGCCCGCCAAGUAUGGUGCCAUUCCGAGUCCCGCGGACGAACUUCGCCCACGCCCCCCACCAAGGCUAUAGCCCACGCGUUUUUUGGCCAUUUUUCCGCUGGGGGGUCUUGGGUCCCCGACCUUCGGGGGCUGAUUUUUGGGCGCGGCUGUGCCCGUGGCCUAUUUUUGGCACACAGAGGCCGCCCGCCAAGUAUGGUGCCAUUCCGAGUCCCGCGGACGAACUUCGCCCACGCCCCCCACCAAGGCUAUAGCCCACCCGUUUUUUGGCCAUUUCUCCGCUGGGGGGUCUUGGGACCCCGACCUUCGGGGGCUGAUUUUUGGGAGAGGCUGUGCCCGUGGCCUAUUUUUAGCACACGGAUGCCCCCCGCCAAGUCUGGUGCCAUUCCGAGUCCCGCGGACGAACUUCGCCCACGCCGCCCACCAAGGCUAUAGCCCACCCGUUUUUUGGCCAUUUUUCCGCUGGGGGGUCUUGGGACCCCGACCUUCGGGGGCUGAUUUUUGGGCGCGGCUGUGCCCGUGGCCCCAUUUUUGGUACACAGAGGCCGCCCGCCAAGUAUGGUGCCAUUCCGAGUCCCGCGGACGAACUUCGCCCACGCCGCCCACCAAGGCUAUAGCCCACCCGUUUUUUGGCCAGUUUUCCGCUGGGGGGUCUUGGGACCCCGACCAUCGGGGGCUGAUUUUUGGGCGCGGCUGUGCCCGUUGCCUAUUUUUGGCACACAGAGGCCGCCCGCCAAGUAUGGUGCCAUUCCGAGUCCCGCGGACGAACUUCGCCCACGCCGCCCACCAAGGCUAUAGCCCACCCGUUUUUUGGCCAUUUUUCCGCUGGGGGGUCUUGGGACCCCGACCUUCGGGGGCUGAUUUUUGGGCGCGGCUGUGCCCGUGGCCUAUUUUUGGUACACAGAGGCCGCCCGCCAAGUAUGGUGCCAUUCCGAGUCCCGCGGACGAACUUCGCCCACGCCCCCCACCAAGGCUAUAGCCCACCCGUUUUUUGGCCAGUUUUCCGCUGGGGAGUCUUGGGACCCCGACCAUCGGGGGCUGAUUUUUGGGCGCGGCUGUGCCCGUGGCCUAUUUUUGGCACACAGAGGCCGCCCGCCAAGUAUGGUGCCAUUCCGAGUCCCGCGGACGAACUUCGCCCACGCCCCCCACCAAGGCUAUAGCCAACCCGUUUUUUGGCCAUUUUUCCGCUGGGGGGUCUUGGGACCCCGACCUUCGGGGGCUGAUUUUUGGGCGCGGCUGUGCCCGUGGCCUAUUUUUGGCACACAGAGGCCGCCCGCCAAGUAUGGUGCCAUUCCGAGUCCCGCGGACGAACUUCGCCCACGCCGCCCACCAAGGCUAUAGCCCACCCGUUUUUUGGCCAUUUUUCCGCUGGGGGGUCUUGGGACCCCGAC
rnacentral:lncRNA from 1 species